UACUUUUGUCUUAGUGUAUCUGAAUUGUUAAAGAAAUGUAGCAAUACCCUGAAAUAACAAUUAACAAUACCCCAUAUCUCGCUUAAGCGAGAUAUGGGGUAUUGUUAUUUUGUUUGAUGUAAUUGUUAUUUUGUUUGAUGUAAUAGUAUUUUAAUUUUUUGCGUAUAGCAUACAUAUUUAUUUAUAUUGUAUAACGUAUAACAUAUUUAGAUAUUUAGAUUGUAUAUAUGUAUAUUAAAUACAUAAGUAUAAAUUAAAUACAUAAGUAUAAGAAAUGAACUUAACGACGAGAUUUAUUAUCGUUUCUUGCAUGUCUCGUAAAAGACAGAGUAGGUGCAAAUUCUCCCAAUUUGUGACCCACCAUACGAUCCGUUAUAUAAAUAGGUAAAUGUUCCUUUCCAUUAUGAAUAGCGAUUGUAUGGCCAAUCAUUGUGGGUAUAAUGGUAGAUGCCCGAGACCAAGUUACUAUUAUUUCUUUCUCUUCCCUCGUGUUGAGUUUUUCAAUUUUUGCCGAUAAAUGAUUAGCUACAAAAGGGUUUUUUUUUAGUGAACGUGUCAUGUCACAGUGUAUUACUCCUUUUUUUUUUACAUUUUUUAUUUUAAAGAUUGGCAUUCUAUGUCCAAUAUCUCGAUCUAAGUUAAGUAUGGAGGUCAGAAUAAAUACAAUAAUGAUGAAUGGAAAAAAGAUAAAAUCCUUUAGCUAUUAGCUAGAAAAGAAGG
rnacentral:misc_RNA from 1 species